GGGGGGAAAUUUAGUAGUAGUAAUGGCGAAUAGUAUCAGCUUUAUUGUUUAUGCUGGUAUUACUGUGGUGGCCUUCAUGGUUUCUGCAUUUUGUUUGAGGGUCUGUUUCUCUUAAUUUUGUUUGCUUGAUCGUUGCUGUGAACUGUGAAGUCCAUAACUGGUUUUAGUAGUGGUAAUUUGUUUCAUCUUCUAACCCCGUUUAACUUUUUACUUAGUUGUGAUUUGCCAAUAUUCAGGUUUUCUACAUUUUAUUUGAGGGUCUGUUUCUCUUAAUUUGGUUCGCUUGUUCGUUAAUUGAUGUGAACUGUUAAGUUCAUAAUUUAAUCUUAGCAGUGGUAAUUUAUUUCAUCUUCUAACCCCCGUAUAACUUUUUACAGUUGUGAUUUGCCAAUAU
rnacentral:lncRNA from 1 species